rnacentral:rRNA from 1 species
UCUGAAUCUGCGUACGGCUCCGCAAACCGUUGUAACUAUAGCAAGUUCGCCCCGGUGCUGGCCGUAAGGUUGGUGCUGGGGUUAAAUGGAUAACCGUGGUAAUUCUGAGGCUAAUACAUGAACGUACCCCCUGAUCAACUGGGUAACCGGGAGGUUGGGGACAGUGCGGUCAGUCGCAGAUAUUGCUGGGAAUAGACGCACUUUCAAACCACCAUACCAAACGGUUGGGGUGCUGACCUUCGGGGAGGCGCCCUUUCUGGGUGGGCCUUGCUUUGUGCUU